GCAUUUAGAAGGGCUUAUCUUCGUACUGGUCUGGAACUUACUGCAAUCGAAAGGAACUGGCCUGAAAGAGAUUAGGAAAAGCAUUAAUUAAGAAUGCUUUAGAAAUAAUAGUACUUUAGGAUAGGAUUGACUGUGAACUCUUACGCUAGGUGGUACUGGAGUUCCACAAAAAAGAUGCGACUCCCCAUGAAAAAGGCGUGAAAGAAGUAAUGAAAGGGAAGCCCCGGGUCAAACCGCGUUCGUUCUUGCCUGUAUAGCUUUCUAGAGCAGAGAUCUAGCAGCGCAUUAUAGGCACAGAUCAUUGGUAUUGGAUGUAUCGUUAGGUUGUGCCGAUUCAAAUCUGCUCCGUUUUUUGCAUUGCAGAAAAGAGAUCUCUUCCCCCUGCUUAAAAAAAUGAUGAAUAUGAAGUCCGUGGGGCUGCAGGUACUAUGGAUCCUCUGACUCCCAAUCGGGUUGCCUUCCCAGGUCUCGCCGGUCUUGCCUGUAGGUCGUGAUGUGCCUAGAGAUGGCCGUCUCCUGUCCCCCUGCCGGUGGGGAAUCCGCUCCCGGGUUGGUUGUCGCUCUGCUGCGUCUGGCCCGUCCUCUAGGCACCUUUGGAAGGCAGGGAGUGUGACAACGUACACGUUUCCCUUUACUCCAUAGGGUCUUCUUACGGUGGAUUGAAUGUGGAUUAGGGUGAUUGCACCCCAGAAUUUACAGUUGCUGAUCCUGCAAAGAUAACUGUGGAAAUUAUAAUUUAUGAGAAGUGUAUAUAGAAAGGCGGACAGAGAAGCUAUCAGAGUGCCAUCAGCUUUCCUCAAACCUUGAGAUACCAAAAUCGGGGAAGAUCCAAUGGUGAUGAUGGAAAAGCUGCCAAACUUGAGAAUGAAAGAUGAUAAUGCAAGUUCCCUCUCUCUCCUUCUUCUCCUCCUCUUUAUCUUGAGAAUGCAAGACCUUCCCUUUCUGCUAAAAAGGUUGUUACGGGAAACUAUGGAUCCUCAAAGGUCACUUCCUCUUGUCAUCAGGGCACGUGUCUACAUUGCAGUUAAGUAAUUUGCAACUUUACUGUAAGAAUUAUGUUUUCCCUUGCAUUCUUGUCUUUUAGAUCUCACAUAAUGUGAAGGGCUAUAGAAAGGCUUCAUUCCUGAAAGCUUGUAGAAAGCAUAAGUAGCUGCAAUUUUUCUAAAAAGAAUUACAUGAGCAUAAGUAUGGAUGUUAAGCAUAAUGGGUAGGAAUUUUUGUUCAAGCUCGUGCUAAGAAAAUAAGGAUGACAAGCAGCUCAAGUCUUGAUUUCGAUCAAUUGUAGCCUAGUGAUUUUCUAUAUAGCAUGCUGCCAUCCUGUUGGAUAGCUUAAAAUCAAAUUCAGUAACUUAGUGUUUUCCAUUGGUUAUUGGAUAAAGAUAAGAGGUAGUUUUUUCCCAUAAUGAUCUAAUUAGAAAUUGAAUUCAAUUAUAUAUGCCUAUUAUUUAAUAGAAAAACAGCAGCAAUGACUCACAGCUCGACCCAUUUCCUCAGCGAAUGAAGCAUGGUUUGGAUUGAGGUGGACAAUUGAUAGAGUUUUUAUGAUUUUGACAACUCCACUGUUGAACCAAUCUUUCUAAUUUUGUUUUAUGUUUGAUUUGAAUGAGUUUUGAUGAGAUGGGUUAUACU